rnacentral:rRNA from 1 species
UCAGGACGAACGCUGGCGGCAUGCCUAACACAUGCAAGUCGAACGGAGUAAGAGAGAAGCUUGCUUAGCUCUUACUUAGUGGCGGACGGGUGAGUAACGCGUGAGUAACCUGCCUUUCAGAGGGGGAUAACGUUCUGAAAAGAACGCUAAUACCGCAUGAUAUAUUGGGGUCGCAUGGCCUUGGUAUCAAAGGAGCAAUCCGCUGAAAGAUGGACUCGCGUCCGAUUAGCCAGUUGGCGGGGUAAAGGCCCACCAAAGCGACGAUCGGUAGCCGGGUUGAGAGACUGAACGGCCACAUUGGGACUGAGACACGGCCCAGACUCCUACGGGAGGCAGCAGUGGGGGAUAUUGCACAAUGGAGGAAACUCUGAUGCAGCAAUGCCGCGUGAGGGAAGACGGUCUUCGGAUUGUAAACCUCUGUCCUUGGUGAAGAUAAUGACGGUAGCCAAGGAGGAAGCUCCGGCUAACUACGUGCCAGCAGCCGCGGUAAUACGUAGGGAGCAAGCGUUGUCCGGAUUUACUGGGUGUAAAGGGUGCGUAGGCGGCUUUUUAAGUCGGGCGUGAAAGCUGUGGGCUUAACCCACAAAUUGCGUUCGAAACUGGAAGGCUUGAGUGAAGUAGAGGUAGGCGGAAUUCCCGGUGUAGCGGUGAAAUGCGUAGAGAUCGGGAGGAACACCAGUGGCGAAGGCGGCCUACUGGGCUUUAACUGACGCUGAGGCACGAAAGCAUGGGUAGCAAACAGGAUUAGAUACCCUGGUAGUCCAUGCCGUAAACGAUGAUUACUAGGUGUGGGGGGUCUGACCCCUUCCGUGCCGGAGUUAACACAAUAAGUAAUCCACCUGGGGAGUACGGCCGCAAGGUUGAAACUCAAAGGAAUUGACGGGGGCCCGCACAAGCAGUGGAGUAUGUGGUUUAAUUCGAAGCAACGCGAAGAACCUUACCAGGUCUUGACAUCCAACUAACGAGGCAGAGAUGCAUUAGGUGCCCUUCGGGGAAAGUUGAGACAGGUGGUGCAUGGUUGUCGUCAGCUCGUGUCGUGAGAUGUUGGGUUAAGUCCCGCAACGAGCGCAACCCUUGUGAUUAGUUGCUACGCAAGAGCACUCUAAUCAGACUGCCGUUGACAAAACGGAGGAAGGUGGGGACGACGUCAAAUCAUCAUGCCCCUUAUGACCUGGGCUACACACGUACUACAAUGGUCGCUAACAGAGGGAAGCCAAGCCGCGAGGUGGAGCAAACCCCCAAAAGCGAUCUCAGUUCGGAUUGUAGGCUGCAACCCGCCUACAUGAAGUUGGAAUUGCUAGUAAUCGCGGAUCAGCAUGCCGCGGGUGAAUACGUUCCCGGGCCUUGUACACACCGCCCGUCACACCAUGGGAGCCGGUAAUACCCGAAGCCAAUAGUCUAACCGCAAGGGGGACGU